AAGUGACAAAAUUACAGCCUGUUUUGGAGUGUAUUAGUGGGAAAAAAAAGUGGUAUUAGCUGUUCAGCGGUGCAGUUAUAUGUUCCGAAGCCUUUUUUCGGAUGUAUUAGUGGGGAAAAAAGUGUUUAUUAGCCUUUGUGAGGUGAAAUGACAAA